AGUGAACGCUGGCGGUAGGCCUAACACAUGCAAGUCGAACGGCAGCACAGUAAGAGCUUGCUCUUACGGGUGGCGAGUGGCGGACGGGUGAGGAAUACAUCGGAAUCUACUUUUUCGUGGGGGAUAAUGUAGGGAAACUUACGCUAAUACCGCAUACGACCUACGGGUGAAAGCAGGGGAUCUUCGGACCUUGCGCGAUUGAAUGAGCCGAUGUCGGAUUAGCUAGUUGGCGGGGUAAAGGCCCACCAAGGCGACGAUCCGUAGCUGGUCUGAGAGGAUGAUCAGCCACACUGGAACUGAGACACGGUCCAGACUCCUACGGGAGGCAGCAGUGGGGAAUAUUGGACAAUGGGCGCAAGCCUGAUCCAGCCAUACCGCGUGGGUGAAGAAGGCCUUCGGGUUGUAAAGCCCUUUUGUGGGGAAAGAAAAGCAGCAGGUUAAUACCCCGCUGUUCUGACGGUACCCAAAGAAUAAGCACCGGCUAACUUCGUG
rnacentral:rRNA from 1 species